GAUGAACGCUAGCGGCAGGCUUAAUACAUGCAAGUCGAGGGGCAGCAUGACUGUAGCAAUACAGUUGAUGGCGACCGGCAAACGGGUGCGGAACUCGUACAGAACCUUCCUUCGAGCGGGGAAUAGCCCAGAGAAAUUUGGAUUAAUACCCCAUAGUACAACGGAGUGGCAUCACUUUGUUGUUAAAGAUUUAUCACUUGAAGAUGGCUGUGCGGCUGAUUAGGUAGUUGGCGGGUAACGGCCACCAAGCCUGCGAUCAGUAACUGGUGUGGGAGCACGACCAGUCACACGGGCACUGAGACACGGGCCCGACUCCUACGGGAGGCAGCAGUAAGGAAUAUUGGUCAAUGGACGAAAGUCUGAACCAGCCAUGCCGCGUGGAGGAUGAAGGUCCUCUGGAUUGUAAACUCUUUAUAUGGGACGAAAAAAGGGUUUUCUAACUCGUCUGACGGUACCAUAUGAAUAAGCACCGGCUAACUCCGUGCCAGCAGCCGCGGUAAU
rnacentral:rRNA from 1 species